CACAGACAAUGCAAUCCAUGUAUGGAUCCUACAAAUUCCCCUAUAACUACAUCAUUUCUCUCUCUCACUCUGUUUUCUUGUAUCGGGGAAGUUUAAACGUUUUAUAUUUUACUGGAAAACCCAGCUAGUUGGGCAGGUAAUAAUAAUAAUAAUAAUAAUAAUAAUAAUAAUAAUAAUAAUUCCUUAUGAAAUAUAUCAGCAUUUUGGUGUGAAUUUCCCCUAUCUUUUUUUGCUAAGCAAAUUUCCUUAACAUAAUGAAUUUUUGUACAAUUUUUUCAUGCAUACAUACAUUUUUAGUCAUACUUUACCCUAGUUUAUGCAUUAUUGCACGCAUUAGGCAGCUUAAGGUAAAGGGACCCCUGCAGCUCUCAUCUCACUUUAUUGGCCGAGGGAGCCGGCGUACAGCUGGUCAUGUGGCCAGCAUGACUAAGCCGUUUCUGGAGAACCAGAGCAGCGCAUGGAAAUGCUGUUUACCUUCCCGCUGGAGUGGUACCUAUUUAUCUACUUGCACUUUGACGUGCUUUCGAACUGCUAGGUUGGCAGGAGCAGGGACCGAGCAACGGAAGCUCACCCCAUCGUGGGGAUUCGAACCGCCGACCUUCUGAUCGGCAAGCCCUAGGCUCUGUGGUUUAACCCACAGCGCCACCCGCGUCCCUUAUGCAGCUUACUUGGCUGCAGAACUGAACUGCAAAAUUCAGAGAAUUGUGAUUCCUUCCCCCCAGACGAUAGCUGUGUUUUGGUUUGCUUAUUGUUUCAGAAAAUGUGAACGAGAUCGAUUCAUCUGUAAAUGUGAACUGAAUUGAACUUUUCCUUCCUCUCUAGCUGCUGGUUUAUAAACCUUAAUAAGUUCCAUUUCCAACUAAUGUCAUUCAUACGUCUUAAACAUAUUUAAGGUCAAUCUUAUUUUGAAAGACACGAAGAAAGUGUGCUUAUUUCCUUAUGAGCUUAAUAUUUACCCAUUUUUUAAAUACUGAAAUAGCAGCAUAGAAAUCAACGUUUUGCCCUUUACCAUUCCACACCCACCUGCCCGUUAUCAGCCAUGCUGUUAGAUGCCACAGAAUAACCUAUUCUUUAAUUCUCUUCCCUGCUUCCUGUCUCAUUCAAAGUGGAACCGCUGGGGAUUCCUUCUUGGCCAGUACAGACAAACUCAAGAGGUUUUUGGCAGGCCUUUGUUCCCUUCUCUUGACUGUGAAUUCUUGUUAAGAUUAAUUCAGUAUCUCACCUUUCAUUUUGAGGGUGAAUAGAACAAACCACUUACUUACGAUUUUACUUAUUAAAUAUAUAUUUAAGCUGACCUUCCUAGAUACAGGUACUCAGGGUAGAGUACAAUACAUAAUACAGCUAAACCGUGUAAUAAAAUUGUAAAAUAUGUUCUCCCUAACAGAGAGCACGUGUUGUGGUGGGGGCCGGCAGGCCACCACACUUUUGCUGGGCAGAUCUGUUUGGAUGUCUACAGGCAGUGAUUUGAGUCUCUGGGGAGAUUCGAUGUUGCCAAUUUGGGGGUGGGGAGAAAGGUUUUAAAUACUGGACAUGCAGCUUUGGGCAUCCUCUUGGGCUGCGUGCCCACCCUCCCUGAAUUGGGGCUUUAUUUUUGCUUUGACCUUGCUAUGCCUGUCAUGUGGUCGCCUGCUGUUGGGGCAGGGGCCUGGUAGGAAUUUUGUCCAUUUGGCUGAUUGGCUGGUGCCAUUUGGUUUUUGCCUACUGCGUAGCAAAUCGUCACAACCUGUAAGGUUUGCGGUUAGGCAUUGGUUAAAAUUGGUUGGUGGAGGGGGAAGUGCCUACCCCUCCAAUGGUGGUGCUGCAAGGGAAUUCCAUUAAAUGAAUCCAGGGGCUUGCCAUGCUUUUGUCCAAGUCCCUGGCAUCGGGGACUGCUAUGGGGAGAGAGAGCAUUGGUGUGCCACCACAAAGAAGGCUUGUGCUGAAUCACCACAUAAUGCACUUGCCCUAAUGCUGGAAUGCAGAGAAGAGUUCCUGCCAAAGUUGUUGUGGCAUAGGCAAGCUACUAUGGAGGAAAGUGAUUCUUCAGGUAUUUGGGUUCUAAGUCAUUAUCACUAGCACCUCUGAAGAAAAUAGAGAGCCACUGUAAUUUUCAGAAUCAGCGUAGUAUGAUUUCAUCUGGCUAAGCCACCAAACACUAUGGUGGUCAUAUUUUGUACCAUAGGAGCCAACUCCUAGAGGCCAUGGGAGCUUCAGCCCCCACAAUAAAGUAUUUGAGGGGGCUGGUCCCCCACAAAGUUGGUGGGCAUUCCCAUUCAAAUGGUGUGUGUGCACUGCGUCAUGUGAUUGAUUAUGCAGGGUGGGGCUUACCUGGGCCUCCACAGUAUUUUAUUCAUGUUGGCAUCUUGUUCUGCACUACUUGAAGCCUCCAAGGCCAGCUCCAUGUAUGACACAUUAAGCAAUGCAAUAGGGAGGUUACCAAAUCAUGGGUCACCGUAGAAAGACUAUUCCUGCCCAGGAAUGGUCAAUAGGUGACAUAUCAGCUGAAGUUGAAUAAAUGCUCUUGUAGGGACUUUAUGACUAAGAAUUGCUACUCCAUUAUAAGCAAGUUGGAGAGCAUAGGGGGGUACACACAUUUCUUGGCAGUGAUUGGAUUAGAUUAGAAUAAUUUACUUUGCUUACUGUGUCUAAAUUGGUUUCAUAUCGAAAAGCCUGACACACUGAUUAAGUUAACAGUGAUUUUUUUCCAUAUUCAUAGGAAGUUUAUUUCAUUUGCCACUAUAAUAAGACAGAUUAAGCCAGCCUUGAUGGCCACUUCGCCUUAUGAGCUCCCUUAUGAUGAAAUGGCAUUUCAAUCAGCGGACAAGGAAUGUGUUGCAAUACAUGCAUGGAUGCUACAUAAACAUACAGAACCAGUUAAUAUGUACACAUUGUUUCCAGCUGUACUUUACAAAAAUAGCAUUCAACAUUGUAAUAUAUAUAUAUAAUGUGUGUGUGUGUGUGUGUGUGUGUAUAUAUAUAUAUAUAUAUAUAUAUAUAUAUAUAUAUUCCCAGCAUAUACAUGGAUGUUGGGUUCAUGGGUUCUCCAGGCACAUUUUAGUGAGUCUAUCUAAUAAGUAUUUUUAUUUAAAGUUUUCAACAUAAAAUACAAUAAAAAUCAAUCUAAAGAACAAAAAUAAUAAGAAACAGGAAAGGAGGGGGGAAAGAAAAGAUAAAAAGAACUACACGUGGAUGUUGGGUUCAUGGGUUCCCUGGGGAUAUUUUAGUGAACUUUUCUGGAAUAUUUGUGCCUUCCAAUUGUGACUUUAAUUGAAACCCAUAUACCUAGGGUUCAUGGAGCAGUCAGAUUGUACACUGAUUCUGGAUUUGUGGGUGCUAUUGUUUCAAGAGGACAUAUAUCCAGGAAAAGUAAUGUGCUUAUGAUUGCAGUUUAAAGGAGUAGAAGGUUCUACAGUAGGGUUAGCUACCAUGAUGGCUUUCAGAUAUCAUUGGAUGCCAACUCCCAUCAGCCCCAGCCAGCAUGACCAAAAGGCAGGGAUGAUAGGAGCCGUAGUCCAGGAACAUCUAGAGGACCCACAUUGGUAACUCCUGUUCUAUAGAAUUAAAAAUAAACUCAAAAAAAUGGGGAAUAUCCAUAGGUCAGUGAUAGAGCAAUCUGACUUUCAUACAGAAGGUGUCAGGUUCUCUACCAUCUCCAGGUAGAGAUGGGAAAGAUCUGAAACCCAGGAGAACUGCUGUAGACAAGACUAAGCUAUGCUUUUUAGCAGGGGUGAAUUUGCCACAGACACCCUUCUUGGAGGAAGACAUGAGUUGGUGGGGAUCACAUGGACCAGUAUGUCCAAUAGGAGAGGAGCGAUCAGGCUGCUGUUUUAGAAUGCAGCUGUUUACAUGCCCAGCAGUGUAGAUAAAUGUUCCCCUAAUAUACAGUGGUACCUCGGGUUAAGUACUUAAUUCGUUCCGGAGGUCCGUUCUUAACCUGAAACUGUUCUUAACCUGAAGCACCACUUUAGCUAAUGGGGCCUCCUGCUGCCGUCAUGCCGCCGGAACCCGAUUUCUGUUCUUAUCCUGAAGCAAAGUUCUUAACCUGAAGCACUAUUUCUGGGUUAGCGGAGUGUGUAACCUGAAGCGUAUGUAACCUGAAGCGUAUGUAACCCGAGGUACCACUGUACCUUAAUUCAAACUCACCUGCCCAUAUUUACAUUAUUUGUUUGUUGUCUGGCAGAUCUUUGUAACUAUAUUUGAAUAAAUAUGGCCUUUUCACCAUUACUCUGACUCUCCAGUCAUCUUCCAGGGCGUGUUGACAAUUCAUUUUCUUUUUACCUGUGAUUGAUAAUCACUCAGAUGGUACUGUUAAUUGGGCAGUAUACAAAUGACACUGAUAAAUAAAUGAUAUUUAUAAUAAUUAUUAUCUGAAUUCCGCCAUGAUGACUAGUUCAGUGCUAUGUCUCUUCAGGCUCACCAGUCUGGGCCCUGUAUGUUCUACUAUUCAUUCCUAAAGUUAAAUCUAUUUGAGGACAUUUUGACCUGAAUGCAAAGAACCUCUCCAGCCCCACUAUCUUUCUGCCAUUGUGUUUUAUUCUAUGCCUUUAUAGUGGUGUAGAUUUCAAGGUUAGCUCAUCAAACCUGACCUGCUUUAUAGCAUAAGCCAAUCGAAUCUUCUCUGUUUAUUACUGUACCAAACUAAUUAAAUUGCAUUUGUCGGAAACAGACCUUUUAGAAGUGCUUUGAAAAAGGAACUUGUUUCACACUCUCAGCCACCCACCUUAUUCAUUUAAUUUCCCCACAGUUUUUAGAAACAUAGGCAUGGGCAGCAAUGGGACUGUAUGUGCAAUGGCUUUGAUCUAACAGUCUAUUUGUUUUGAUUUCUUAUUCAUUGCCUACCCACGGAUUUUCAUGUCUCCGGCAAGAUUAAACCCGAAAAGGAAAGUAAAUAAGCAAAUCCAGUAAGGUAAGUAAUGAAAUCACUGUUCAAUUUAAUUCCCAACUUUCAAGAUGAUCCAAAAUAGUCCCCACAUUAAGACCCCAUCAGAAGGUUCCAGGUUCAAAAAAAAAAAGGAGGAAGAAAUAUCCCUCUAAAUGAAAACUUGGAAAGCAGUUGCCACUCAGAAUUGAUAGUCCUGAGCAAAACGGAACAGGGUGAAUUGGUGUGAUGGAGCAAUCUAAGGGUGGGGGACAUGGGGAGAUUCUGUGGUAGACCGACCACCACAUUCUAAAUCUUGCUGGCUUACAGCGGAGGUAGACGCUUGAUUUUCCUUUCCUGCUGUUUUCUUUUCACCUCCCAUUGCAGUCGGUGGGAGAAAAUUUCAGGGAUGACGUGGUGUGGGUGUCAGGAGAGCAAGUGGACUUAGGAACCUGCAUAUCACUGAGCAUCCCUGGUAAGCCCACCACUACUUGACCACAGAAUACUCUCCUUCAGCCCCCACCAUGAGCAGAACACUGUCAGCAGGUCAACCAUGGCCACUGAGCUUUUGGGUGGGUCCCUGGCAGUAUAAUGGUGCCUUCUCUGCUAGCAAAGCAACACUUAAAACUGCUUCCUACAACCUCUCAGCCAGCCUAGGGCAUACUGUCCAAGGAGAAAGAACUUGCCCAUGUGAAGACCACCUGGUGGAAACCCUUACACAUAUGGUUCUUAAUUGCAAACUAUAUGCUGAUCUCCAUCAGCAAUUUCUAGAUCAUCUCUGUAUCCCCACAUGGAAACCAGAGUUGGAGGUCAUACAUUUUCUAUUACUGGGGAAUGAUCAGGAGCUCACCAAGUUAGCGGCUAAAUAUCUCCAUUUGGUUUUUUGUCGUCGAAAUGCACUGCAGACGUCUGAUCUCCCUGGAGACCUAGAGAUGUGACGAUAGACUGCUCUGCCUCCUUCCUUUUAGCAAAUGUUUUGUGCCACUGGGGAAGUGGUAAUUCAGUAUUGAUUUGUUUUGGAUGUUUGUAUGUGAUGCCAAUAAAAGGUUUGAUGAUGAUACUGUCCAACAUUUUUCUGAUGAAAAUAGGGGUGUCCUUUUCUGUUGUUGUUGUUGUUGUUGUUGUUGUUGUUGUUGUUAUACCCCACCCAUCUGACUGGGUUGUCCCAGGCAGCUUUGGGUGGCUUCCAACAUAUAUAAAAACAGAAUAAAACAUUAAACAUUAAAAAAACCCCAACCUUCUACAUACAAGGCUGCCUACAGAUGGCUCAGGGGUUGGUUAACUCCAUGCCCUUCGUCAUUUCUCCCAUGAAAACAGGAACAUCCUAAGAAAAAGUGGGACAUUCCAGGACCAAAUCAGAAACUGGGAUGGCUGCUGUAAAAUUGGGACUGUCUCUGUGAAACAGGGACAUUUGGAGGGUCUCCUAGGGCCAACUGCAGGAAAGCUCCCAAUAUUUCUACUUUCCCCUCAAAUUUCAAGGUAAGUUCAGAUGCCAAUACAGUGGUGCCUCGCAAGACGAAAUUAAUCCGUUCCGCAAGAGUCUUCGUCUAGCGGUUUUUUCGUCUUGCGAAGCAAGCCCAUUGACGGAUUAGCGCUAUUAGCGCUAUCAGCUGUUUAGCGGCUAUUAAAGGCUUAAAGGCUUAGGGGAUUAGCUGCUAAAAGGCUAUUAAAGGCUAUUAAAGGCUUAGCAGAUUAGAUAAAGGGGGAAAAGCGAAAAACACUCUCAAGACUCGCCAGGUAUUUUCGUCUUGCGAAGCAAGCCCAUAGGGGAAUUCGUCCUGCGAAGCAACUUCAAAACGGAAAACCCUUUCGUCUAGCGGUUUUUCCGUCUUGCGAGGCAUUCGUCUUGCGGGGCACCACUGUACAUAAGUCAACAGUAUUGCAAUGAUAAGCAGUGUUUAGGGAUUUAUUCCGCAAGUCCUUUGUGUUCAACUGGGCUUGGUGCCAGGUAAGUGUUCAUUGGCCUGCAGCCUUUACACCAUUAAAAACAAAAACAAAAAAAAGCUAGAGACUCGAAUGCAUCCAUUUGAUCUCAUUGCAUCUCAUUACAUAUGCUAAUCUUCUGCAUACUGUCCCUUGCUUUUUCCUGUAGGACUAAUUGCAGUCGUUAACAGUCGUCAACAGGUUUACCAUACCCACUGAGUCAAUCACCCAUCUCCUACUACCCUCCUGAAAAAAACAACCCACCCCACCCUCCCACUAUAUAUAAGGGUCUGUUUCAGUGUAUCUGAAGAAGUGUGCAUGCACAUGAAAGCUUAUACCAAGAACAAACUUAGUUGGUCUCUAAGGUGCUACUGGACAUUUUAUUAUUUAUUUAUUUAUUUAUUUAUUUCAACUGCGUCAGACCAACACAGCUACCUACCUGCAUCCAGCAGUUGUGCUGCUCCUGUUUAAGAAAUGUCUGUGCAAUUGUGUAUAUGCAAAGUUGAGCCAGUGUAUACUGACAAUUUUAUCCCCAUUAACUUGCGAGGAAUAAUUUACUAUUCUUGUGCCAGUAAUCCUGUGGUUUGGCAAUCGAUACUUGGCCUAGUUUUACUCUCACAAAAUGAAUUUGCAACAGCAUCCCUCCACAUGUUUUAUAUUAUAGAAUAUGGAUGGUUUUACUAAUGUGACACACUCCGCUCCUCCACACACACAUAUUACCUUCUUACUUUUUCAGCACUUUGUUUUUAGUAAAGUUGUAUUCCUUUUUAGUUCGUCUACAAGCGUACAAGAGGAUAAGAAGCUUAGAGGAUAAGAAAAAUUAGCUUAAGGAAGUUCACAGCAAGAAAGUUUCCUUCUCCACUUCCACCACUUCUGCUCACCAGAAGUGUGUCUUUGGAGAGUGAGGGAUGGGCCAUGGAUGGGGAAAUCUGAAAUGAUGGAGGGAAAAUCAGAAUUAAAACCUACGUCCGCAUAGAGGAAUGUUUACAUCACUGCCUCCUGUCUUUGAGUGGAUGUUUCAGACAUCUUCAAGAAGGUUUCGUACUGCCAGCUCCGGAGACUCAUGGCUUUGAUGGAUGCUCUCUUUCAUCUGUUAAGGUGUUCACCAAUCUAUUCUUUUCUGCCCUUGACUUUCUAAUUCUGCUAUUCUUUCGACUCCUUUUCCUUCUGCGAAUUCAUUACGUCUAGGGGGACAGAAUUAAGGCAUGGAAGAGGCAAGAAUGGUCAUUAUUUUUAACGUCUUUGUUAAAAGAUCUUAACCAAGACCAGUUCACACACACACACAUACACACACACACCAACAUUUACAAACACAGCCUCUUUUCUCUGUUUUCCUCCAGUGAGAACCAAGCUCAAAGCAAAACAUUGGUGGGCAAUGGAGCCUUUUUAUAUCAGAGCUGACAAUACAACACAUACUCUUGUUUGUUUGCAAAGGAGUUACGAUAUGGCUUUUGACUUUUUAACCUCCAGUUCUCCCAUGUGAAAGAUUCUGAAAUCCAGCAUGAAGGAAACCAACAACCACAUGAAUACUGGGAAAUUUUCAGUUAUGUCUCUCCUGUUCUUCAUAUGCAGCAGUGUUUAUUUUUGUACCUUCCUGUGGCUAAGCAAGAACAACUGACCAGUGCACAAACAAGCAGCCCAGAAUUCUUCUUCCUGAGCUGCCUUGGAAAGCGGAUGACCUCUCCUCUCAUUUUUAACUCUUCACCAACUCAGCACAUUAAGGGUCUAUUUGUGCAUUGAUCUUCAUAGCCCCAACCCAACUCCAAUUGCUUUUGUUGAGCACAUGGUAAAAAGCAUCCUUUGAAUCCCUGGAUGAAAUAAGAAAAAAAAGUACUUUUGAUACCUCCUCCUCCUUCUUCAUCUAAGUCCAUAGCUGUCAAGUGUCCCUUAUUUGAAGGGACAGUCCCUUAUUCCAGCGCCAUGUCCUGCUGCUGUCCCUUAUUGAUGGAUGUCCCUUAAAUGUCCCUUAAAUGAUGUCCAUUAAAUUUCAAAGGAAGCAGCUCCUCUCCCUCCCUCCCUGCUGGCCAGAGAGGAAGGAGGCUCCAGCUGUGUUGCUUGGCCGUGUUGAUCACCCAAUAAGAAGUCUAAGAACGACUUGGGGGUGGAGCUUGCAUGCCUUGUGUGUGGCUAGUUAAUGCAAGCUGAGGGGGUUUUUGAAUGCUGAACACCAUUUUGUUGCACGUGCUGCUGCAAAGCCAGGCCAGGGAGCCAUCUUAAGUUGAGGCUGCAUAGGCCUUGUGGUGCAUGUGAUUCAGAUUCUAUUCAGUUGAACCUCUGGUUACAAAGUUGGUUGGACAGUGUUCUCGAAGCUACCAGCAUGAGUUUGACCAGACUGCAGGACAGGAAGACUGGAGUGCCUGGAACAGGUGAGGCUGCAGGUCCCUUAUUUUGGCUGCUGGCCCCUUAUUUUCAAGGCUGCUGUUCCCUUAUUUUCAAAUCUGUAAGUUGACAGCUAUGUCUAAGUCUCACAUCCAUUCUUGGGUAUACGCUUCCUCAGGUUCUCUCCACUGUUCUCUGUUGUUUGAAGAAUUGUCCAAACAAUUAGUCCUAUAGGAAAAAGCAAGGGAUAGUUUGCAGAUGACCAAAAAUAGCUUUAGCAUAUGUAAUGAUACAAGAAUCCAAUAUCUCUAUUCAGACCCGGUCUCUCCAUAGUUUUCAGUUUAGUAAUAAGUUGUAAUUUAGCAACUUCUCUUUCAAGUCUAUUUCUGAAAUUUGUUUGUAAUAAGACAGCUGCUUUGAGAUCCUGUAUUGAAUGUCCUGGGAGAUUGGAGUGGCUUCUCUGUCUUGUGUUUCCUAAUGUCAGAUUUAUGUCCAUUUAUCCUUUGGCAUAGGGUUUGGCCUGUUUGUCCAAUAUAGAGAGCUGAAGGGCACUGCUAGCAUUUGAUGGCAUAUACAAUGUUAGAAGAUGAGCAAUUAAAUAGGCCUGAGAUGGUAUGUUUGAUGUUGUUGGGUCCAGUGGUGGUGUUGUCUGGGUGUAUGUGGCAGCAAAGCUGGCAUCUGGGUUUAUUGCAGGCUCUGGCACCAGUGUCUAUGUUACUGUAUUAUUGUGGGUGAGGAGUUGUUUAAGAUUGGGUGGCUGUCUGUAGGCAAUGAAAGAUCUUCCUCCCAGAGCUUGAGAAAGACAUUGACAGGUUUACCAUACCCAUUGAGUCAAUCACCCAUCUCCUACUACCCUUCUGAGAAAAACCCCACCCCACCCUCCCACUAUAUAUAAGGGUUUGGUGACUUCUGUUUCAGUGUAUCAGAAGAAGUGUGCAUGCACAUGGAAGCUGAUACCCAGAACAAACUUAGUUGGUCUCUAAGGUGCUAUCGGACAAUUUUUUAAUUUUUUUAAUUUAUUUUGACUGUGUCAGACCAACACAGCUACCUACGUGGCUCUGAUGUUGGGUUGCUGCAUCCAUUUAAUUCCUGCUGUUAGUUUUAGAUUGUCCACCCAUCACAUAGGCGGUCAUCCUUUGUAUCUUUUAAAAUUGUAGGGUCUCCACACUAGCACUGCUUUAUUUCAUUGACACAAGUCAUCUCUUGCCAUAUGCUCUGCAUAUGUCCAUUUUAGCUUUGCAGCCUUUCCCACAACCGUCAUAACUAUUGACCUCUGCUGUUCCCAAUCAUUAUAAAAUCAUAGAACGGAAGGGACCACGAGGGUCAUUGAGUUUAAGCCCGGCAAUGCAAGCAUACUUUGCCCAUUGUGAGGCUCAAACCCACAACCCAGAGAUUAAAAUUCUUACACUUUCAAGAUCUCUGUCAAAGAAUGACAACCAAAUCAGCCAGAGCCCCCAAUUGCACUAUACUUUUUUUUUUCAAAUAAUAAUAAUCCACACACAAUUUGUAAAAAUAGUGGAAUAAGAAAAACUACUCCCACAUUCAGACAAUAAAAAAUCUUGUCCUAUGGGGGGAAAUCUGUAUCUCUUUCAGGGAACAAUUUUGAUGCACCUGAUUUCUUUCCUUCUUUUGUAUUUCCUACCAAGUUUAGGUUAAUUAAAGACCAAAAUCAUCUUUUUUAAAAAGAAGAAGAAGACAUCAUGUGGAUGCAAAGGAAGAGCUUGCUUCUGAAACUAAAAAAUAAGGGAAACAGACUUGUCAGCCUGGCUAAUGGCUCUGAAUAUUGAUCAAACAGAUUCUUUAUUAGAUUUUUGAGACAGAUGAUUGCAGUUUAAUACCUAGCUAAUGAUCAUUCUUAUGCCAGUCUCAGAAAUGAUAAUUACUUUAUGAUUAGCACCAUGAUUGAAAUCGGUGUAAUUUUUACCCCCUCAAGAUGUUUCUGAUGACUUCUCUCUCCAGACAACAUGUUGUCAUGAAUGGCUGAUAAUUAUUAUGGAAGCGCAAAAAAAGACCGAGUAAUUUCUCCAUAAACCUUUUACUUUACUCCCCCUCCCCUCUCUAACCUUCUUUAUUCUUCUUACUCUUUCUGCAUCCACAUAGAGUACUGUUCACACCAUCACUGCCUCCUGUCUUUGAGUGGAUGAUUCAGACAUAUUCAAGAAGGUUUCGUAUUGCCAGCUCCCAAGACUCAUGGCUUUGAUGGAUGUUCUCUUUCAUCUCUUAAUGUCUUCACCAGUCUGUUCUUUUCUGCCCUUGACUUUCUAAUUCUGCUAUUCUUUAGUCUCCUUUUCCUUAUCAAAUUCACUCAGUGGCCAUCAUUCACUGCAUUAUAGUUUGACGGUGGCUCUGCAUCCUUCCUUUUCCAUACCUGGUUGACAUGCAGAAGAGCAGGUGCCAGGUGUAAUUGAUGGCAGGUGGCAGUGCUAAGUUCAAGCAAUUUUACUACCUUUUUGUGGCAUUUGAAGGCAGAUAACACUGCUUUUGCACAGGUUAGAUGCAGUAUCGUUAUCUUAGGGGCACUGGAUUACAGGUUUAAGGUCAACUUGUUUUUAGGUAUUUGUUGUUUGUAGUCAAUACUAUUUUUUCUAGUUAAAGAGGUGCCAGACCUCACCAUGAAUGCCUCACUUGUUCUCUGGUAAUGGCAGUGGCACCCACCCUUUUUCUGGCUGAAAAAAGCCCUGUUUGUAGUCUUAGUUUUCUGCUCUGGGUUCUUCAACGGGUCAAUUUCCCUUACAUUUCUCUUGGUUUGUCACAGGAAGGAGCUCACAAAUUAAGAGUGAACCCUGUUUUAUGUGUUUAAAUUCCAAAAAAAUCAUUUUAUUUGGUUUUAUAUGCUGUUACGUGUUUUUACACUACUGAUUUUAUGUUAGAUUUUUGUUGUAAUGAUAUUGUUUAUCAUUUUAGAGGGUUUUUAAAAAUAUGUGGUUUAUCAAUGUUGUAAAUAAAUAACUAGGGUGGCACUGUGGGUUAAACCACAGAGCCUAGGACUUGCUGAUCAGACGGUUGGCGGUUCGAAUCCUUGCGACGGGGUGAGCGCCCAUUGCUCGGUCCCUGCUCCUGCCAACAUAGCAGUUUGAAAGCACGUCAAAGUGCAAGUAGAUAAAUAGGUUCCGGUGGGAAGGUAAACGGCGUUUCCAUGCGCUGCUCUGGUUCACCAGAAGCAGCUUAGUCAUGCUGGCCACAUGACCUGGAAGCUGUACGCCGGCUCCCUCGGCCAAUAAAACGAGAUGAGCUCCACAACCUCAGAGUCGGCCACAACUGGACCUAAUGGUCAGGGGUCCUUUUACCUUUAAAUAAAUGACUACCCCACUUUUCUUCUGUCAUAGAACCCCUUAUGUUUCCCAGGUGCUCACCUAUACAGGUACUGACCAGACCCAGACCUGCUAAGCCUCAAGAAUGGAGUGGCUUCAUGUGCUUUCAGACCAUACGCUGGGUCCACUAUGACUACAAGAUUCCUUUCCUGGUCUGUCACCACCAGCUCAAAUGCCACCAGUGUAUAUGUGAAGUUAGGAUUUUUUGCUUCCAUGUGCAUGAUUUUGCACUUACUAUACUGAACUACAUCUUUUACUUUAAUGCACAUUCACCAAACAGGACUAUUGCUAUUGCCCCAUUCCUGGUUUAGGGAAAUGCUACAAUGGGGCAGAAGGUUAGGAAAUGGCUUGUGUAUGUAUAUAUAAGUUAUGGCUUCUGCCUAAGUCUCUGUUUUUUCAAAAAGCGCAAGGGUGAGUUUGCUCAAGUGAGAAUGGAAGAUUUGUUUUCAUUUUCUGUUAAGUCAGUGUGCUUCUAGGAAGCAUUAAGAGACAAGUUAAUGUUUACAGCAGCGGGGUUCCAGAAGAGAAAAUGAGAGCACGCAACAGAACCAGGAAAAAAAAUCAACUGCAACCACCCUCAAGAAAAUAAACACUAUAUUAAAAAAAAAAAACUUCUACUAAAUAUAGUCAGAGAUGAGUUAAGCACUAAUUGAUUGUGCUAUCAUUAGGCUCAGUGUGUAUUUUCAUGCUGUUUCCAUUCCACAGAAAUAAUGUCCUUAAUAAUUAUCAUCAUUUUAAGACUUGCGGGUCUCUCAAUGCAUUGGGGAGGGGCAGACACAAACGCUACGAUUAUACCGCAUAAUAUUAUUUCCACACAGCUUAGAGAAGAGAAAUCAAUUCAGGUAAAAUUUGUCAGUGACAUGAAAUCCUUUACUCGCAUUUCCCCAAAGUGAUAUUAACCAAUGGCAUAGAAUGUCUGGAUUAUGAGCAGUGAUACCAGGUGGGUCCAAAAAGAAACCUAAGGCGUGUCCAUGGGAUUUUGGGCUCCUGCCCUUUGAACUUGACAUCUCGCAACCUGCUUUUGAAAGCCCCCUUACUUUCAAAGGUAGGCUUCCAGCUGGCAGGUGCAGCUGGUGAGGGAUGCUGUUUGAGAAAAGGAAUCUCAAAACAUUCUGGGGUAUGUAGAACAUUCUGCAUGGCUAUGUAGAUCCUGCCCGAACACCUAAUAGAAUGUUUGUCUAGUAUUGCCAUGUGCUUCCUAACUCUACUCCUGGUAAUGUUAUUUGAAUAUUGAAAUACUUUAUUGUCACUUGUACAACUUGUAUACAGUGAGAUUACACGAGCACCCCCCACUCAGCUCUCUUAGUCUUAAUUCCCCUCGUUUACUGACGCACACCCACCAAACCCGAAAGUCAGUUGCCCUGUUGUUAUCUUUUCAUUCAGCAGUCUAACAGCCCACGGAUAGAAGCUGUUCUUUACCCUGUUGGUGUGACUAAUCAUGCUUCUAUAUCUUCUGCCAGAGGGCAGGAGAUCAAGAAAGUGCUGGCCAGGGUGUGAAUAAUCCCUGGGAAUUUUCCUCACUCUCCUGAGGCAACAUUCUUCCGCGCUGUCUUCCUCCGAAAGUCCAACACCAUCUCCUUUGUCUUGCUGAUAUUAAUGUGCAAGUUCUUCCCUAGGCACCAUGUAGAUAUUUUUUGGACCUCCCCUCUAUACGAUGAUUCGUCUCCACCUGUUAUUAAACCCAUUAUGGUGGUGUCAUCUGCAAACUUAAUAAUUGCAGUAGACGGGUCAGAUGAUACAGAAUCGUAUGUAUACAGUGAAUACAGGUAGGGACUUAACCAAAUCAUUGAGAGAAGCCUUGACCAUACCAAAGUCAAAGCUUGGCCGCUGGUCAUGAUGACUAUGCCUCCUCAGUGUUGGAGGCAAUACGCCUUUGUAUACCAGUUGUGGGGUAUCACAGGUGGGAAAAGUGCUUUUGCAUUCAGGUCCAGCUUCUAAGCAUCCCUUAGGCAUCUGGUUGGCCACUGUUAGAACAAGAAAAUGGGAAAGGGAAUCAGUUACCCACUAGGGGAGAAUGGUUAUGUAAGUUUUCAGAAUAUUUAGAAUUAGCCAAAUUGACAGAUAUAAUAAGACAAAAAACAAAAAGUGAAGUGAAAAAGGAAUGGGGGUGUCUAAAUGAAUACCUUAAAAGCCAAGGUUCGAGGACAGAGAUCUGGCUGAGUCUGUAAUAACCUUGUGAACUGAAAGGAUAAGAAAGAGGGAUUUAUAUCUAGAUGCUAGGAUAGGGAUGAUAAGGAAAACAGGGAAACAGGAAGACACAAUGAGAGGUAAAGGAGGUGUUGUGGGAUUGGUGGAAGUCAAUGUUUGUUUUUCUUUUUAGUGUUUAUAUUACUAACUUGUAAGAUAUGGAUUUGUGGGGGGGGGUUUGUAUGUUGGUUUUUGUGUAUUGUUAUUUUUGAUAUUUUGUUGUUGUUGUUGUUGUGUGGAAAAUACUAAUAAAAUUUGUUAAUAAAAAAAAAUAGAACAUGAAAAUGGACUAGAUGAGCCUUCAACCUAUUCUAGCAGGGCUCUCCCUAUGAUCUUAUGAAGGGCUUUUUUUCAGCCAGACUCAUCAGAACCCAGUUCUUGCACCUGUCCAUUUCCAUUUUAAGAGAAGGGUGGGUUAUGGUGAGUUCUGGCACCUCUUUUUCUAGAAAAAGAUCACUAAUCUUAUGGUAGAGAGAGAGUUUUGUAUUUGAUAUCCCGCCUUUCACUCCCCUUCAGGAGUCUCAAAGCGGCUAACAUUCUCCUUUCCCUUCCUCCCCCACAACUAGCACUCUGUGAGGUGAGUGAGGCUGAGAGACUUCAGAGAAGUGUGACUAGCCAAGUUCACCCAGCAGCUGCAGGUGGAGUAGCGGGGAAGUGAACUCGGUUCACCAGAUUAUGAGUCCACCGCUCUUAACCACUACACCAUACUGGCUCCCUAUCAUAUCCAUACCUCCAGGGACUUCCUUAUCUUAUUAUCUCCCCAGAAAAGAUUUCUGAGUAGGAACAGAAGCGUUAAAGACCAAAUGUGAAGUAAGGUACAAGCCUUUUUCAUACCACAACUAUCAAACUACUAUUAAAUACACUGGCUAACCAAUUGGUGUACUAACCACAUGAGAACGUAUGUGCAGCACUUCCUUACAUUGAAGUAGACACCAGCGUAGAGAUUGUCUCUGAGCAGGGAAAUUAUAACCCUGGAAGCAGUAUGUAGCUUUUUGUGAUAUGUAACAUGGUCCCAACCUUUCUAACAGGGAUCCUACUACCCUGCUUUAGGGUUCAUUGGAAUCUUCCCAAUAGCUGAACCUAGCGGUGGUGGAUUAAACAAGCUCAAAAAUAUUUUAGCAUUUUUCUGGGAGGAAGGCUAGCCAUCCUUCAAGAUUCACAUUUUUCUCAAUUUUGACGGCCAAAUAUUGUGAGCAAAAAAAUGGAAUAUACUAGUGUGCACAAAAUGAAUAUAUUAGCGAAAAUAACAUGCAAAAAUAUGUUAUAUUAGGGGAAACUGUUUUGCAAAAAUGUGAGUAUUUGGCAAAAAUGCAUAGGGAAAUGUGCAUAUUGAUGAAUUUUCAUGGGGACAAUCACAAACUCCUGUAGAAAUGUGCAGAACUGAAUUUAAGAUUGUGGCGGCGGUGGGGGGGUAGAUGAGAACCUGAGUGAAGUCAGUAUUGACAGAUUUGCCCAUUCUUACCCAUUUCAUAGCAAGACAGAAGUGGCUGGCAUUUAAACAAAAAACACAAUUCCACUAUGCUUUGUACAUUGUGCCUUUUUCUGUAGAGCACGUCACAUUCCUCAGCUGAAUCAUUAGGAGUCGGAAGGAUGUGCAGUGCGUUCCACAGCAUCCUGGCAGAAUUGAUUUCAUCGUCCCAUGGGAGUCCUUCAUAGAGUAGCCUAGCCUUGAAUAUUUCCAGCAGAG